GAGAAUCUACAAAUUUUAUAUUAUUGUGUUGUUAUGCGGAAAAUCCUUCGUAUACAUUUGGUGAAUUCUAUGAAGUUUUCCAACCAUUGCGACUCAAUGUGGUGGCUUUUUAUAUUUACACGGGAAUGAAAAGUUAUGAAAAUGUUGUAACUGUUGGACUAUGAAGCAUUGGGGCUGUUUUUUUUUUUUUCAAAUAAAUAAAUAAAUAGGAUAGUUACAUUAUUUAGAAGGGUGUUUAUGUAAUUCAACUUUCUGGUUUAUAGCUUUCCAAUAUAUAUAUAUAUAUAUAUAUGUGUGUGUUUUCUCUACUUAUAUGAUUAUUUGAACUAUGAUCAAUGUUAAAAAUUAUGUUUAGGCUAUGUACUUACUUGUUGGAGCCAUAAUAGGGCCAUUCUUGCUGUUUUGAGCAGUUUGCCUUAAUUGUUUUCAUAUUCUCGGUCAUAAUUCUUCAUAUGUAUGUUAUAUCUUAGUCCAUGUACAUUAUUUCGUUUUCAUUUCACAUGUUGUUGUUGUCCUCAUAUAUGAUGUUGUUUGGGCUGAGUUCUAUGAGAUGUGAGCCAUUGAGACUUGAACGAUUGAUGACUGAU
rnacentral:lncRNA from 1 species